rnacentral:rRNA from 1 species
CAGCAGCCGCGGUAAUACGAAGGGUGCAAGCGUUACUCGGAAUUACUGGGCGUAAAGCGUGCGUAGGUGGUGGUUUAAGUCCGUUGUAAAAGCCCUGGGCUCAACCUGGGAAUUGCAGUGGAUACUGGGUCACUAGAGUGUGGUAGAGGAUAGUGGAAUUUCCGGUGUAGCAGUGAAAUGCGUAGAGAUCGGAAGGAACAUCUGUGGCGAAGGCGACUAUCUGGGCCAACACUGACACUGAGGCACGAAAGCGUGGGGAGCAAACAGGAUUAGAUACCCCUGUAGUCCCUGUCUCUUAUAU